AGGGGGAGUGUGGGAUCUUGGGCUGUGUCCCUUAGUGCCCUGGGCUCUGGGGCCUAAGCCACUGGAAUCGCGCUCCCAGGGCCACACAGCCCCCU
rnacentral:pre_miRNA from 1 species